rnacentral:rRNA from 1 species
UACGUAGGUCGCAAGCGUUGUCCGGAUUUACUGGGCGUAAAGAGCGCGCAGGCGGCUGGUCAAGUCCGAUGUGAAAUCUCCCGGCUCAACUGGGAAACUGCAUCGGAAACUGAUCGGCUUGAAGAUGGGAGAGGGUAGUGGAAUUCCCGGUGUAGCGGUGAAAUGCGCAGAUAUCAGGAGGAACACCGGUGGCGAAGGCGGGUUC